rnacentral:tRNA from 1 species
GGGCCCUUAGCUCAGCCGGUUAGAGCACCGGACUCAUAAUCCGAGGGACGCAGGUUCAAAUCCUGCAGGGCCCA